rnacentral:misc_RNA from 1 species
GUGAAUCAUCAAAUCUUUGAACGCAAAUUGUGCUUCCUGGCAUCCCGGGAAGUAUGCCUGUUUGAGGGUCAGUAUUAAUAAAAAAUCGGUUUGGUUACAAAUUGUGACGUUUCCGGAGUUUGGGCUAUCUUAACAUUUUUGGUUAGAGGCUUAAAAUUGAACUUUUUUUCGCAUUUUUUGACGUAAAUAAAUUUUUUUUUAUUCGUCUAUUCUUUAUUCCAAGGUCUUAUUAGAUGCGGUUACAUCGG